rnacentral:rRNA from 1 species
UGGGGAAUUUUCCACAAUGGGCGAAAGCCUGAUGGAGCAACGCCGCGUGUGUGAUGAAGGUCUUCGGAUUGUAAAGCACUUUCGACCGGGACGAAAAUCCAUUGGCUAACAUCCAGUGGCCUGACGGUACCGGGAGAAGAAGCACCGGCUAACUCUGUGCCAGCAGCCGCGGUAAUACAGAGGGUGCAAGCGUUGUUCGGAAUUAUUGGGCGUAAAGCGCGUGUAGGCGGCUUGGCAAGUCAGAUGUGAAAGCCCUCGGCUCAACCGAGGAAGUGCGUCUGAAACUGCCGAGCUUGAGUGCCGGAGAGGGUGGCAGAAUUCCGCAAGUAGAGGUGAAAUUCGUAGAUAUGCGGAGGAACACCGGUGGCGAAGGCGGCCACCUGGACGGCGACUGACGCUGAGACGCGAAAGCGUGGGGAGCAAACAGG